rnacentral:rRNA from 1 species
UACGGGGGGUGCAAGCGUUAUUCGGAAUUAUUGGGCGUAAAGGGCGCGUAGGCGGUUUUAUAAGUCAGAUGUGAAAGCCCCGGGCUUAACCCGGGAAGAGCAUUUGAAACUAUAUAACUUGAGUACGGUAGAGGAAAGCGGAAUUCCUGGUGUAGAGGUGGAAUUCGUAGAUAUCAGGAGGAACACCGGUGGCGAAGGCGGCUUUCUGGACCUGUACUGACGCUGAGGCGCGAAGGCGUGGGUAGCGAACGGG